UACGUAGGGGGCAAGCGUUGUCCGGAUUUAUUGGGCGUAAAGAGCUCGUAGGUGGUUUGGUAAGUCGGAUGUGAAAUCUCCAGGCUCAACCUGGAGGGGUCAUUCGAUACUGCCAUGACUAGAGGUCGGUAGGGGAGUGUGGAAUUCUUGGUGGAGCGGUGAAAUGCGCAGAUAUCAGGAGGAACACCGGUGGCGAAGGCGGGACUCUGGGCCGAUACUGACGCUGAGGAGCGAAAGCGUGGGGAGCGAACAGG
rnacentral:rRNA from 1 species